ensembl:lncRNA
UGCACCAGGAGGUGAAAUCAUUCCACUGAGGAAUCCGUAUAUGCCGCCCCGGACCUUACAUAUAUAUAAACAUAUCCAUAUUUAUAUAAUCAGAAAUGAAUCAAACAAGAAUAAGAAUACUUAUACUAACACUUUGAUGUAUGGAAUGAGGAUAAUAGCCUUAGUACAUGGCAGAUGACCCAGUACAGUAGCAGUAUUAUGUGUCCCCUUAUAUGUCCCCCUAUCGGUCUCCUCUCCAAAGCCCCGAGGAGUGGGGGUCAGUUGCUCCCUGUGUUAGGACUUUUGUUCUGGAUGGAGUUGGUUGCUAACUUCAUUCUGUAAUCUGUUGGAUGAUGAGCUGUUUUUUUGGUGCUUUCGCUCGGUUAUCACACUCAAGCUAAAACUGAAGCAACAACGAAAAAGGAUACGAGUUGUGUAGUCAAACAUCUUUGUUUAUAGACCAAUAUCAAGUCAAACCUUGGUAUCAUAAUCUUGUAACAUCGCCGUUACAGCGUUAGUUUCAAUUCUCGCAAAAACAAAGCUUAUGGGAAUUGUUACUUGAAUGUUUAAUUCACAAAUAUACACUUUAAAAGAAUCCAAGAUACAAUUUGGUAGCCAGCAAGUUCAAAAGACACCAUAGCUAUCCACCCCCACCCUCCCCCCAUUGGAGAAAGACAAGGGCCCAACGUCCCCCCUAAACCCUGAACCCUCAUGGACUUGGAACUGGUAAGUGGUUGAGUGUGAAAGUCUGUGAGGGCUUUAAGUGGUGUAAAUAUGAAUGGACCAGCACUUUGCUGUCACGUCACCAUGACAACAAAUUAAAGGCAUUUAUUUCAUACUUUUUACUCGCAGAUAUCAACGUCUUUCAGGCUCUUUCUUCAUUCGAUGAAAGUUCAUUUUAAAUAAUGUUUUCCUGUUUAUUUGUCAAAAUAGCCUGAAUGACAAAAUAAAAUAUUCAAUGAAUAAAUUAGUAAAUAUCGACUCAUUUCGGGUGGGUUUUACUCCGUCUUUAAUCCCCUACAUUUUAAAUGUAUACAUUCUAUUAUGUCUGAACAUACAUGUGCUGGUUAUCCCGUUUGGUCGCCACAUUGCAAUGACUUGUGUGUAAAUCCUUUGGGCAAAGUCAGUAUCCGAUGCUGCUUAUAAAGAGUUCAUAAAGGGCUCCGUGUGAGCCAGAGAGCCUCAAACACUCAACACUGUUACAACCCUAAACCCUCACGGAGUUAGUGGGAGCGCGCUUCAAAGUCUGUGUCUUUAACGGGGGAGAUUGGGAUUUGGCCCAAAUAGGCAGUUGUGCACGUAGCAUUAAUACUUCUCAGGUCAAUCAACACUACGUCUUGCUGGGCUAGCACAGAAAAAUGUCCCCUUCAAAACACAAAAUGUAUCGAUUUUUUUAACAAAUUCCUAUGGUAUGUGUCACAGCUAAAACAUAGAAAUAGUUGUUCUAUGACCUCUCGUUGUGAGUAAUGUUUUAGUGUGUGUUUCUUUGCUCUCAGAGAUUCCUCUGAAGUCAGAAAAAGCAGUCUUAAAACUUCAUGAAGGGUUCUCUGUGGGGAUUAACUCCGCACGCAGAGAACUUCAAAUCAAAAUCAAAUCAAAAGCUGUCUGUUUGUAAAUGUGGAGUUCAGGUCAGCAAAGGUAAGGGAGGAUGGUUUUGUGGGGUGUUUCCGCCGUAUUGCAUCAUGCAAUAUUCUAUCCUUCUGUGAGAAUGCUUUCCCCGUUUACUCACCAAUCUGUAAAAUGACAUGGUUCACACAACAACCAGAUAUCAGAAAUAUUCUCAGACUAAACUAGAUGGCCUCCUCACACUCGCUUAUAGGAAGAGCUUUGUUUCUCUGCUCCCCCUUCACCAAAUUAAAGAAACCCUAAACAAAGAGGCGGCGUGAUUUCCCCAUUGGCAGAGAGCUCUGCUGUGAUCACGCCUGAGGACUUGGCUUUCACAAAUAACAGAAUGUCAUUGGUUGUUUAGACGGACAAUAAGCAAUGACACCAUCUCAGCGGCCGCGCUAAUAAUGUCCAUCAAGUGAGAUGAGAGCAUGCGAGUAUCAGAGAAGGACAUGAAAGUCUAGAAUGUGAGAUGUGUGUGUGUCACAUACAGUCAAAAGGCUUCAUGCGUGAUCCGUUAGGUCCACAGACACCUGCAGACUGCAGCGAACAUUGUGAUGCAGUGAUGCAGACCAAUGCUCAGUAGAAUGAUAUUGAGAAGUAUCCUGUGGAGUUUCUGACCGCUACUCAGCAAUGUGUUGUUAUGCAUCUUGUGUUGUACGAGUAGCGUAAACACAAUCCUGCAAACUGUUUCAUGCUGACAGUCUGUUGCUCAAAGCAACAAGAGAAUCUAGGAGAUAAGAUGACUUUUGGAUAGCGUGGAGAGAGAGAAUGUUUCACCAAAUGCUUUGCAAAUGCUGCAGAUGGCAGAAGGCAAAACAAAAAAGCAAUUCAGUGCUCCACAUAAAAUCAUUAAAUACAUCAGGCAAAAGGAAAGUAAAUUUAAAAACAAAUUUUUGUCCAAGCUUGAAUUUGGUUCCAACCUGGUCAAAAUCGAGCCAGAACCAACUUCCAACCUGGUCUUGCUUCUUCAAAAUAAUUUAUUGUGAAGAGGAGCAGAGCUUUGUUAGUGACUACUCUCCAGUAAAGCAAGUACUAAUGCAGAGAGGAAAAGUGAGUAGAAAGGAAUAACUUAUUGUUAAAAUGUGUAAUCUUUUACAGUUUCGAAGAAAAGAAAAAUAUACCCAAUCACCAUCCGGUCGGACAGAAAUUGAAUCAGUUUCAUCACAGCCGUGUCGUUCGGAACUUCGUCGUCCAAAAUUUGCAGCGCUACAUUUGCCGACCAAAAAUGCACUGUGUCUUUCCCAUAACGGAACAAAUACUAAAUAUUAUUGACAAUUACACUUUAGAAAAUUGCCUGUAUCUGUGGGUUUAAACGAGCUAGCUAAUGAAUUCUUGCAGCCAAACUAAUUCAAAUGAUCGGCCUGUUACAAGCUGAGCAUUCCAGUUUCUCUCUGUACAAUGUUUUUAUUUUGAAGUAAUUCAAUUCAUUAUAUUUUGUAAAGCCCAAAAUUACAAAUUACAAAACUCCCUCAGAGGGCUUUACAGUCUGUACACAUUUGAUAUUCCCUGUCCCAAAUCCCUCGGCACGGAAAGAAAUCCCCCAAAAAUUAAAAACCCUUUCAUGGGGAGAAAAUAAUGUACUACGGCUUAGUUUCCUUAUGUCAUCCGAUAUUGCCAGUCAUUACUCCAAACAUCUGGCAAAAUGUCCUUCCUAGGUGAAACCCAUGGUUACUCAUCCAUCCAUGUUUGAUUUACGCGCGCGCAUCAACCUGAUUUGCGCUCUCGAAUUUUGACAAUGAUUUGACGCCAUUGUAUGGGUUCUUAAGGCUCGCGUGCCUCUGUCUUCUCAAGGCAAUGCGGUUGAGGAAGCUGUCACUCAUGAUGACACGCCCCUCCCAGUUUUUGCCCGCCUCCUGUGCCACAUCAGGGUCAAAAGUUUUGAAUCUGAAAA